rnacentral:rRNA from 1 species
GAUGAACGCUGGCGGCGUGCCUAAUACAUGCAAGUCGAGCGAACAGAUGAGGAGCUUGCUCCUCUGACGUUAGCGGCGGACGGGUGAGUAACACGUGGAUAACCUACCUAUAAGACUGGGAUAACUUCGGGAAACCGGAGCUAAUACCGGAUAAUAUAUUGAACCGCAUGGUUCAAUAGUGAAAGACGGUUUUGCUGUCACUUAUAGAUGGAUCCGCGCCGCAUUAGCUAGUUGGUAAGGUAACGGCUUACCAAGGCAACGAUGCGUAGCCGACCUGAGAGGGUGAUCGGCCACACGGGAGCUGGGCCACGGUCCAGACUCCUACGGGAGGCAGCAGUAGGGAACCUUCCGCAAUGGGCGGAAGCCUGACGGAGCAACGCCGCGUGAGUGAUGACGGUCUUCGGAUCGUAAAACUCUGUUAUUAGGGAAGAACAAAUGUGUAAGUAACUAUGCACGUCUUGACGGUACCUAAUCAGAAAGCCACGGCUAACUACGUG